UGGGGAAUCUUGCACAAUGGGGGAAACCCUGAUGCAGCGACGCCGCGUGAGCGAUGAAGGUUUUCGAAUCGUAAAGCUCUGUCCUAUGGGAAGAUAAUGACGGUACCAUGGGAGGAAGCCCCGGCUAACUACGUGCCAGCAGCCGCGGUAAUACGUAGGGGCGAGCGUUGUCCGGAAUUACUGGGCGUAAAGGGUUCGCAGGCGGCAUGGCAAGUCCGAUGUAAAAGGCGAAGGCUCAACCUUCGUAAGCAUCGGAAACUGUCAAGCUUGAGUGAAGGAGAGGCAAGUGGAAUUCCUAGUGUAGCGGUGGAAUGCGUAGAUAUUAGGAGGAAUACCGGUGGCGAAGGCGACUUGCUGGACUUCAACUGACGCUGAGGAACGAAAGCGUGGGUAGCAAACAGG
rnacentral:rRNA from 1 species